rnacentral:lncRNA from 1 species
GGCUCCCGCGCGCCACCCCGAGGGGACGGGCGCCACCUCCUGCUACGCGGCACCCGGUCCCGUCAACCGCCCAACGGCUGAGGAGUGCGGGAGCGCGCCAGAGACUGGCGGGCAGCUCCGCCCGCGGCCGGGAUGCACUAGGCAAAGCCAGCUGGGCUCCUGAGUCCGGUGGGUACUUGGAGAACUUACUACGUCUAGCUGGAGGAUUGUAAAUGCACCAAUCAGCAUGCUGUGUCUAGCUCAAGAACUCAAGCUCCAUGAGGAGAUGUUUCAUUGUCAGUGAGCACAUUCUUGUCA